UGGACUCAUACUGUAAGUCGCUCUGGAUAAGAGCGUCUGCUAAAUGAACGUAU
rfam:Salmo salar isolate Sally breed double haploid chromosome ssa01, whole genome shotgun sequence.